UACGAAGGGGGCUAGCGUUGUUCGGAAUUACUGGGCGUAAAGGGCUCGUAGGCGGCCAACUAAGUCGGAUGUGAAAUCCCCAGGCUUAACCUGGGAACUGCAUCCGAUACUGGAUGGCUUGAAUCCGGGAGAGGGAUGCGGAAUUCCAGGUGUAGCGGUGGAAUGCGCAGAUAUCAGGAGGAACACCAGUGGCGAAGGCGGUUCUCUGGGCCUUACCUGACGCUGAGGAGCGAAAGCGUGGGGAGCAAACAGG
rnacentral:rRNA from 1 species